rnacentral:rRNA from 1 species
UGGGGAAUAUUGGACAAUGGGCGAAAGCCUGAUCCAGCCAUGCCGCGUGAGUGACGAAGGCCUUAGGGUUGUAAAACUCUUUCGUCGGGGACGAUAAUGACGGUACCCGAAGAAGAAGCUCCGGCUAACUUCGUGCCAGCAGCCGCGGUAAUACGAAGGGAGCUAGCGUUGUUCGGAAUCACUGGGCGUAAAGCGCACGUAGGCGGAUAGUUAAGUCAGGGGUGAAAUCCUGGGGCUCAACCCCAGAACUGCCUUUGAUACUGGCUGUCUCGAGGUCGAGAGAGGUUGGUGGAAUUCCUAGUGUAGAGGUGAAAUUCGUAGAUAUUAGGAAGAACACCAGUGGCGAAGGCGGCCAACUGGCUCGAUACUGACGCUGAGGCUCGAAAGCGUGGGGAGCAAACAGGAUUAGAUACCCG